rnacentral:rRNA from 1 species
CCUACGGGUGGCAGCAGUGAGGAAUAUUGGUCAAUGGACGAGAGUCUGAACCAGCCAAGUAGCGUGAAGGAUGACUGCCCUAUGGGUUGUAAACUUCUUUUAUAUGGGAAUAAAAUGUUCCACGUGUGGGAUUUUGUAUGUACCAUAUGAAUAAGGAUCGGCUAACUCCGUGCCAGCAGCCGCGGUAAUACGGAGGAUCCGAGCGUUAUCCGGAUUUAUUGGGUUUAAAGGGAGCGUAGGUGGAUUGUUAAGUCAGUUGUGAAAGUUUGCGGCUCAACCGUAAAAUUGCAGUUGAAACUGGCAGUCUUGAGUACAGGAGAGGUGAGCGGAAUGCGGGGUGUAGCGGUGAAAUGCUUAGAUAUCACGAAGAACUCCGAUUGCGAAGGCAGUUCACUGGACUGCAACUGACACUGAGGCUCGAAAGUGUGGGUAUCAAACAGGAUUAGAUACCCUUGUAGUC